UUUCUUUGAUAUUGCUGCCCGCAGCUCGGAUAUGCUGUUAUUGAUACAGAGAUUCUUAGUCAAUCAGAAAUCGAGGAUAUAUGCAUGUCAAAGUUUACUGCCUUGGUUUUGAAGUUCAUCUCGCAGAGGAACAGGCCAAUUAGAGGUAGCACUUCAAAAUUACUUUUGGAUACAUGCGUUCUUUACCGUGCAAGACCUCCCUGACUGCAGCUGGCUGCUACAUUACACCGGCUCCUGGUUCUAAAGGAAUGAAAGCUCUAGUUUGUGUUUCUGUCGAUAGUCCUCUACCUUUAAAGAUGGGAUUAUCCCGCUUACACUUUCAGGCAGAGUAGGAACACAGUACUCUAGAUGAGAUAGAGCAAAUUAUAGCAGAUAGCAAAUCGUCUGCAGAUUCUUUGGUUCCAAAUGCAUCAGAUGUGCAUUUCUUGGAAGGAGCUCCUGAAUCAAUUCUAACUGGAGCCAGGAAACUCGGUAUGAUUAGCGAGUCACCUUUACAAGUACCCUUUUAUUGCAGAAGGAAGAAAUUAACAAUUUCAAGUCUAGUAAAGUCGCAGCUGACUACAAGUCACAGCAUGGAGUCAAAUCUGCUAGUACAUCACGGAGUGAACCACUUCAACCUGGGCAAAUACAUUUAUAUGGUAUUUUGUAGCUGUGUAACCUGUUUCCUAACAAGUAACAAUAUUUAUUUUUCUUUACAGAGCAUUGCCUUCGAACACUGCCCACACUUAGCGACAUCUGCAACAUUCAAGCCAAAAGUACCAUUUGGCGGAGGUCAUACUUCGUUCAUCUAGUCGCUGUACUUUACAGUUCAGCGGGACAUUGGAGUCGAUAUAUGACCCCAGCUUGCUUCAAGCCCCAAUUUUGUACCGCACUUGGAUUAUGUUGCAACAUGUAUUUUACCCCAGCAAGCUUCAAACCCCAAAUUUCCAUUGGGGAAACAAUUUGUACGCUAAAAAUGUAUUUCUUCAUCUUGAGUCAA